rnacentral:rRNA from 1 species
UACGUAGGGGCAAGCGUUGUCCGGAAUCAUUGGGCGUAAAGAGCGUGUAGGCGGUUCCUGUAAGUCCGACUGGUGAAAGUCCCAGGGCUCAACCCUGGGAUGCCGGUCGAUACUGGUGGACUAGAGUCCGGAAGAGGCGAGUGGAAUUCCCGGUGUAGCAGUGAAAUGCGUAGAUAUCGAGAGGAACACCAGUGGCGAAGCGAGUCCCUGGACAACACCUGACACUGGAGGCAACGAAAGCUAGGGGAGCAAACAGGA